ACAACAUAAUCAUGAUCAGGGAGACUAGGCAUCAGGCUCGUGAUCAGAAGGAACAAAAUGAGGAAAUGACUCCGAAGUAGAAACACGACCACAUCUGCCUUUGCCUCGAUUGGAUGAUCUGGUCAGAGUAGGAGAGAUCGAAGGAUGGAAGGCGAUAGGUUGAACAAGGAUAGGCUCAAUGGAUACAGAGGGUCUGAACUGGAGCUGAGUCCUAAUGGCAUCUAGCUGAGAUAAGGCACCUCUCACUAAAACUCUGUGCCCCUCA
rnacentral:lncRNA from 1 species